rnacentral:misc_RNA from 1 species
UCUCCGUUGGUGAACCAGCGGAGGGAUCAUUACCGAGUUAUCCAACUCCCAACCCCUGUGAAUUAUACCUUUAAUUGUUGCUUCGGCGGGACUUCGCGCCCGCCGGGGACCCAAACCUUCUGAAUUUUUUAAUAAGUAUCUUCUGAGUGGUUAAAAAAAUGAAUCAAAACUUUCAACAACGGAUCUCUUGGUUCUG